rnacentral:rRNA from 1 species
GACGAACGCUGGCGGCGUGCUUAACACAUGCAAGUCGAACGGAAAGGCCCUGCUUUUGUGGGGUGCUCGAGUGGCGAACGGGUGAGUAACACGUGAGUAACCUGCCCUUGACUUUGGGAUAACUUCAGGAAACUGGGGCUAAUACCGGAUAGGAGCUCCUGCUGCAUGGUGGGGGUUGGAACGUUUCGGCGGUUGGGGAUGGACUCGCGGCUUAUCAGCUUGUUGGUGGGGUAGUGGCUUACCAAGGCUUUGACGGGUAGCCGGCCUGAGAGGGUGACCGGCCACAAUGGGACUGAGAGACGGCCCAGACGCCUACGGGAGGCAGAGGUGGGGAAUAUUGCACAAUGGGCGGAAGCCUGAUGCAGCAACGCCGCGUGCGGGAUGACGGCCUUCGGGUUGUAAACCGCUUUCGCCUGUGACGAAGCGUGAGUGACGGUAAUGGGUAAAGAAGCACCGGCUAACUACGUG